GAUGAACGCUGACAGAAUGCUUAACACAUGCAAGUCAACUUGAAUUUGGGUUUUUAACUUAGUUUUGGGUGGCGGACGGGUGAGUAACGCGUAAAGAACUUGCCUCACAGCUAGGGACAACAUUUGGAAACGAAUGCUAAUACCUAAUAUUAUGAUAAUAGGGCAUCCUAUAAUUAUGACAGCUAUAAGCGCUGUGAGAGAGCUUUGCGUCACAUUAGCUAGUUGGAGAGGUAACGGCUCACCAAGGCGAGGAUGGGUAGCCGGCCUGAGAGGGUGAUCGGCCACAAGGGGACUGAGACACGGCCCUUACUCCUACGGGAGGCAGCAGUGGGGAAUAUUGGACAAUGGACCGAGAGUCUGAUCCAGCAAUUCUGUGUGCACGAUGAAGUUUUUCGGAAUGUAAAGUGCUUUCAGUUGGGAAGAAACAAAUGACGGUACCAACAGAAGAAGUGACGGCUAAAUACGUG
rnacentral:rRNA from 1 species